AGUGGCGGACGGGUGAGUAACACGUAAGAAUUUGCCUUUAGGAGGGGGAUAACAACUGGAAACGGUUGCUAAUACCCCAUAUGCUUUCGAGUGAAAUGGAUUUCCGCCUAAAGAGAAGCUUGCGGCUGAUUAGCUUGUUGGUGAGGUAAUGGCUCACCAAGGCGACGAUCAGUAUCUGGUUUGAGAGGACGAUCAGACACACUGGAACUGAGACACGGUCCAGACUCCUACGGGAGGCAGCAGUGGGGAAUUUUCCGCAAUGGGCGAAAGCCUGACGGAGCAAUACCGCGUGAGGGAUGAAGGCCUAUGGGUUGUAAACCUCUUUUUUCAGGGAGGAACAAAAUGACGUGUACCUGAAGAAUAAGCAUCGGCUAACUCCGUGCCAGCAGCCGCGGUAAGACGGGGGAUGCAAGUGUUAUCCGGAAUCACUAGGCGUAAAGCGUCUGUAGGUGGUUAAGUAAGUCAACUGUUAAAUCUUGAGGCUUAACCUCAAAAUCGCAGUCGAAACUGCUUGACUAGAGUAUAGUAGGGGUAAAGGGAAUUUCCAGUGGAGCGGUGAAAUGCGUAGAUAUUGGAAAGAACACCGAUGGCGAAGGCACUUUACUGGGCUAUUACUAACACUGAGAGACGAAAGCUAGGGUAGCAAAUGGGAUUAGAUACCCCAGUAGUCCUAGCUGUAAACAAUGGAUACUAGAUGUUG
rnacentral:rRNA from 1 species